CCUACGGUGGGGCAGCAGUGAGGAAUAUUGGUCAAUGGGCGAGAGCCUGAACCAGCCAAGUCUCGUGAAGGAUGACGGCCCUACGGGUGGUAAACUUCUUUUGUCAGGGAGCAAUUGAGUCCACGUGUGGUCUUAGCGAGAGUACCUGAAGAAAAAGCAUCGGCUAACUCCGUGCCAGCAGCCGCGGUAAUACGGAGGACGCGAGCUGUAUCCGGAUUUAUGGGGUUUAAAGGGUGCGUAGGCGGAAUAUCAAGUCAGCGGUAAAAAUUCGGGGCCCAACCCCGUCGUGCCGUUGAAACUGAUGUUCUUGAGUGGGCGAGAAGUAUGCGGAAUGCGUGGUGUAGCGGUGAAAUGCAUAGAUAUAACGCAGAACUCCGAUUGCGAAGGCAGCAUACCGGCGCCCAACUGACGCUGAAGCACGAAAGCGUGGGUAUCGAACAGGAUUAGAUACCCCUGUAGUC
rnacentral:rRNA from 1 species